rnacentral:rRNA from 1 species
UACGAAGGGGGCUAGCGUUGCUCGGAAUCACUGGGCGUAAAGGGUGCGUAGGCGGGUCUUUAAGUCAGGGGUGAAAUCCUGGAGCUCAACUCCAGAACUGCCUUUGAUACUGAGGAUCUUGAGUUCGGGAGAGGUGAGUGGAACUGCGAGUGUAGAGGUGAAAUGCGUAGAGAUCGGGAGGAACACCAGAGGCGAAAGCGGCGGACUGGGCACCUCCUGACGCUGAGGCGCGAAAGCCAGGGGAGCAAACGGG